rnacentral:rRNA from 1 species
AACGCUAGCUACAGGCUUAACACAUGCAAGUCGAGGGGCAGCAUGAACUUAGCUUGCUAAGUUUGAUGGCGACCGGCGCACGGGUGAGUAACACGUAUCCAACCUGCCGAUGACUCGGGGAUAGCCUUUCGAAAGAAAGAUUAAUACCCGAUGGCAUAGUUCUUCCGCAUGGUGGAACUAUUAAAGAAUUUCGGUCAUCGAUGGGGAUGCGUUCCAUUAGGUUGUUGGCGGGGUAACGGCCCACCAAGCCUUCGAUGGAUAGGGGUUCUGAGAGGAAGGUCCCCCACAUUGGAACUGAGACACGGUCCAAACUCCUACGGGAGGCAGCAGUGAGGAAUAUUGGUCAAUGGACGAGAGUCUGAACCAGCCAAGUAGCGUGAAGGAUGACUGCCCUAUGGGUUGUAAACUUCUUUUAUACGGGAAUAAAGUGAGGCACGUGUGCCUUUUUGUAUGUACCGUAUGAAUAAGGAUCGGCUAACUCCGUGCCAGCAGCCGCGGUAAUACGGAGGAUCCGAGCGUUAUCCGGAUUUAUUGGGUUUAAAGGGAGCGUAGGCGGACGCUUAAGUCAGUUGUGAAAGUUUGCGGCUCAACCGUAAAAUUGCAGUUGAUACUGGGUGCCUUGAGUACAGUAGAGGCAGGCGGAAUUCGUGGUGUAGCGGUGAAAUGCUUAGAUAUCACGAAGAACUCCGAUUG